GCUUUCACAGCUCUACAGUGCAGGCCAGGGUAGGUUUGGGGGGAUUACAGCGUGUGUCUAUGUGUGUGCGUGUGAGUGUGUGCAUAUGUGUGUGAAGGAGCUGUCACACAGGGCUGGCAUCACCAUCCAGUUUGCCAUCUCUUCCUCAGCUUGACAAGUCCCUGCUCCCUACCCCAUGGCUUACACACACAAACACACACACUCACGUACACACAAAAGAGUGUUUCUCUGUCUGCCUCUUUCUCAAUCCUCUCUCACACACAUUUGAUAUGAUCACCUACUUAUACUCAGUAAGUGUCACAACUUGUGAAUAUUCUGAAAACACACAAAGCUUAUAAUGCAGCUGACAAAAUAACAAAUAGGACUGAUAUCAGCUCCAUAUCUCCUCUGCUCUUGCACCCUUCUACUGGCUUUCCACUUUCCCACUCCUUGUCCACUCAGAUGAUCUCACCCUGACUGUCUUUCCUUCAAUCUCUUUCACUACACAACAUUAAGUGAUCAAGCAUUUUUUGUAAAUACUCUUCUGAAUCAACUCCCCAUAUCCACUGGAUAUGCUAAAACUUAAAGCUCCUGUGAGGGACUUUCUGUAUUUGUGAAUUUGGGUAAUCUUCGUGGACAAAGUGGUACCCCUGUUUUUAAACAAAAAUGACCCCCACCUACUUUGUUGAAACAGUUAAGUAUAAUAUAUGACCUAUUCUAAUAAUUAAGACUGGCACCUGCCCCGCUGACAGUUGUUUCACAUAUGAAAAACAGCUGCAUAGAAACAGUCGGUCUUUAUGCUGAUAGUCAUGUUGUUUCUUGUAGGUCCUAUUGAGACAUCUGCAUUAAUACAAGUCUGUUUCAAUAACCAGCUAAAAACUCCUUACAGGGGCUUUUAGUGAGUCUCAAGAGGCUCCUCAAAACUCAUCUGCACAAACAGGCUUUUAUGUAACCCCUUUAUAUAACACCCUUCUUCCAGUUUUAGGGUUGUUUAUUUAUUGUUUUGUUUGUCUGACUGUGUGUUUACAAAAUGCCAAAAGAUCAGAUUUUACUGACUGACUUAUGAGUGGCCAAAAUCAUGCUGCACAUUACACAAACCACACAGCCUGCUCCCCAUAUAGUGGCACAUCAAAUCACAUCAGCGUUCCAAAAAUGCUGCUGAAUUUAAUCUGGAAUUUCCCUUAAACGUAAUGUGUGCACGCGUUUUUGCCAGUGUGGCUUUACUGUGUGAUGGCUCUGUGUUUGUGCGACAGAAGUGUGUGCAUGUUUGUGAGUGUGAAAUCUUCUUAGCAGUCACUGGCGUCAGACCGCAGAGGGGUUCUGUUUGUUACAAGGACAGGCUUGUCCCCGCCCCCAGGCGUCAGCAUUACGAUGAUUGUCAUGGCGAUGGAGUGUGAGUGACAGGCGGGAUCACAUGUGGUAGCCGGGGAGCAGGAAGCCCGAACCGCCCCAGUCCCUGACAUUAGUUUGUCCUUCAUCAAAACUUUACACUCGUUUAUAGCUACUCACUCACUCACUCUGUCGCAAAAAUCUCUCCCGUUUAUUCCUCUUUUAACCAUCUGUCUCUCUUAUGCUCUGCUCUCUCUUGUCUUUCAUUUCUAGUUCCCCGGCUCUUUCUCUCUCAUUUACAUUUCAUUUAAAACUCUAAUAUUCCUUGUUCUCUUGCUCUCCUCAGCUCUCUUUCUCCCCCUCUUUCUCCGGCUUACUUUUUAAUUUUUCUUGGCCUGUUGUCCUCUGGCUCCAAGCAUAAGAUGAGCAUGGUUUUGUAGGCCUUUUUUUCUAGAAAUAACACAGCUUUCUCAUCACAUAAAUGAUUGUUAAAAGCAACAAAUUGAUUUUCACAUUUUAACAUUUUAACAUUUUGCACCAUAACAUAUUCACUCACAGAGAAACUGUAACAUGAGCCAUUUGUCCCCAAAGCAACCAGACUGGCUAUAAAAGCUUCGAUCCACCUCCAGGACCCUAAUCAUUUUUAAUUUGCUCCAGCAGUUUUUUUUUUUUUUUUUUUUUUCAUUGUCGAGAUGUAGACUUGAUCUACGUUGUGUUUGUGUCAACAUAAGCACAUGCGUUUGCGAAUGUUUUUGUGCUUCAUAGCAGAAAAGGAGGUCAGGGUUUGCAUGGAGACUUGGGUAUUCAUCAUUACCCCGCUGCUGGUAAUGUUGCCUGUUACAGCCAUGAUUAAGAGCCCCGCUUAGUUCCAGCAGCCGGUGCGCACACACAAACAAACUCGCCCCAUGUGUGGCACAAACUAAGUCUCUGGUUCGCUCUGGUUUCACACAAAAGUGUUCCUUUUACACCAUCACCCAGUUCAGAGUGCGCUCAUACGUGUGUGAGAGUGUGUGUGUGUGUAUGUGUGUGUGUGUGUGUGUGUGUGUGUGUGUUUGUUGUUUGGGGGGGAGCUGUGAUGAACAUGGUCUAACUGUGAGGAGGCUUCAGGGCCUGAUGAGAAACCUGUCACUGUCACUCAUGAAAAGAGCAAUUCACCACACACACACACACACACACACACACACACACACACACACACACACACACACACACACACACACACACACACACACACACACACACACACACACACACACUCAGCAGGAAGUUGCAGACAGUCACUAUGAGUGUAUUUAUGACUCAUAAUGGAUGGAUGGAUGGAUGGAUUUUCUCCAUAGGAAGCCAGAGGAUGAUUGCAGAGGCCUCAUUGUUUUUUAGCCAUUUUUAACGUCAUGCAAUAGUAAUGAUAAAACACUUCACUAUUUGUAUUCAGAACAAGAAAAAAAUUCCCCCUUUUUACUUAAUUAUUGUCAUAGGGUACAAUGUUAAAGCGAUAACUGCAGUAUGGAUUGUCAUUCUUUUUUGAUAUUAUUAUCCAAAUUAAGACAAAAGUAUUAAAAUGUUUCUCCCUCUUCUCUUUUUUGCCUUAAAAAUUCCUCUUUCCCUUCAAACUGUGUCCCCUCCACUUUCUCUCUCCUCUCUUCCAGAAGCCAGAGGUUCAAGCCACCUUUAACAUCCACCGUAAGUGUUCAGGUCUAUCCUCAGAAGAAGGUAGACCUGUUUGCACACCGCCUCAAUGCCUGAAAAAAUAAAAUAAAAUACCUUACUGUUUUUGUUUUGGUGCCUUAUAUGUUUGUGUAAAAAUGUUAAAGUUCAGUUUGCCAGCCAAGUUGGUAUUCGCUUCAUUCUGCUUUUUUCUCAAAGACAACACAUUUCAUGGCUUUCUGCUGUCUGUUUGUUAUAUUGUCCCACUACUGACCAAGCAGCAAUCUCUUGUUUUGAGAAAUAAAACCAAUGCAGAAAUGCCGAAAACUGCAGUUCUUUGAAUGUCCAGUCGAGGCUGGCUGCAAAAGCACCAUUAACCACAUACAUACUCGUUCAAAAGGACCAAAUUUACAGCAAAAAUAAACAUGUGAAACUCGGUUAAAAAAUACUAAUAUCGCUGAAACAAUGUCCAUGUGUUGUAGACUAUGUUUCUUAUCCGAAGAGCCACACUGCUAAAAAAGAGAUCUGGAGGAUUAGUUUGGCUUGGUACUUAAGUCACACAUCACAUGUAUUAAAGUCUUUGGUCAUUAUGCAGGCCCAGGUGUGAUUCCAAAGAGGGUCCACUUUCCUGAAUGUUUCCCCCACUCUCUCCUCUAGUUUCUUGCUCUGUCCUUUCAGAAUACAGGCAUUAAAACCUGAAAAUUUAACUCGAAAUGACAAAGACUUCACAAGAUGACCGUAAAAAUGUUUGAUUACUUUAAUGCUUUUGAGAAAUUGUUAACCAAAGUCCCAGAGGGCAUCACAAGACUGGUCAAGUCAUAUUUCCAGGAUCUCCAGUUCUGCGUUACAACACAGGAUAAUACAACUGCCUGGCAGCAGCUCGAGAUUGGCAUAAUGGCAGGAUGCACCAUAUCCCCACUGGCGUUCACCAUGGCAAUGGAGCUCAUUAUUAGAGCGUCCCGGUGGGUGGUUGGAGGGCAACGUCUGGAGAGUGGACUUCGUCUUCCUCCUAUCAGGGCGUAUAUGGACGACAUGACGACAAUAACAACAACAAGCGCAUGCACCAAACGCCUGCUGGAUAAACUCCAGGGAAACAUCAAAUGGGCACGAAUGGAGAUAAAACCCAGUAAAUCCCGCAGUAUCUCCAUUGUCAAAGGCCAGCUCAGCAAUGAGCGGUUCCACGUCAACAACGAGCCAAUACCAACCGUUCUGGAGAAGCCUGUCAAAAGCCUUGGCCGCUGGUACAGCGCAGAGCUCAAAGACUCGAAGCAGUUGGAGCAACUCAAACUAGAUACCAUCCAUGGCCUCAAGCAGAUCAACAGCACAGCUCUGCCUGGAAAGCUGAAACUGUGGUGCCUCCAGUUUGGGCUGCUGCCCCGUCUCAUGUGGCCAAUUUCCAUCUAUGAGGUCACUAUAUCCCAUGCCAAGCGGCUGGAGAGACUGGUGAACGCACAAGUGAGGAAGUGGCUUGGACUGCCGAGAUGCCUUAGCAGCAUAGGCUUAUAUGGCAACGGAGCACUCUCCCUACCAAUCUCAAGCCUAGUGGAGGAGUACAAAUGUGCUAAAUCAAGGCUGGAGAUGACUCUCACUGAAUCCCGGGAUCCAUUCGUCAGAGGAGCUGCUCCAACCUUAGCAACGGGGAGGAAAUGGAAGCCAUCUGCAGCAGUCGCGGUGGCAAAGACUGCUCUCAGACACCGGGAUAUAGUGGGACAUGUCCAGCAUGGCAGAGGCGGCCUUGGGUUGGAAGCAACAACACCGACAUGGCAAAAGGCGACUCCAGCUGAACGGCGCCGCAUGGUGGUAGAAGAAGUGCGCCACCAGGAAGAAGCAGCCAGGUGUGCCACAGCGGUCUCCCAAGCUCAGCAAGGCCGCUGGAUGAAGUGGGAAGGCGUCGAGAGGAAGAAAAUCACGUGGAGCGAUAUAUGGAGCAUGGAGUCCAACAGGCUAAGCUUCAUCAUUAGAGCCACCUACGAUGUCCUGCCCUCUCCAACCAACCUGCAUGUCUGGUAUGGAGAGGACCCAGCCUGUCUCCAGUGUGCAGCCCCGGCUACCCUCAAACACAUCUUGGUGGGCUGCAAGAACAGCCUAACCCAGGGAAGAUACACCUGGCGCCACAACCAGGUGUUGAAGUGCUUGGCUGCCGAAAUUGAGAACAGGAGGGUAACCACCAAUGCCAUGCCUCUAAACGCCCAGACUACAGGCCCACGGAGAACAAACUUCGUUCGGGAAGGAGAGAAAAGAGGCACAAAGUCAUCUCCUCCGGAUCCAACUCCACUGAACGCAGCCCGGGAUUGGGAAAUGCGGGUGGACCUCACCCAGAAGCUCACCUUCCCACCCGAAAUUGCAGCAACCAACCUGCGCCCAGACCUGGUCCUCUGGUCCAAAUCCUGCCGGCGUGUCUUCAUCGUUGAGCUGACCGUCCCAUGGGAAGAUGCCAUCGAUGAAGCAUUCGAGCGAAAGAGACUGCGAUAUGCCAACUUAGCAGCUGAAGCAGAGGGGCGGGGCUGGAAUGUGAAGGUGUGGCCAGUGGAGGUCGGCUGCAGAGGCUUUGUAGCCAGGUCUGCCACAAGGCUCCUGAAGGAAUUGGGAAUCAGAGGGCAGGCCCAACGGAAGGCAAUUAAAGAACUUGCCACAACAGCAGAACGGAGCAGUCACUGGCUAUGGCUGAAACGUAAAGAUGCAGUAUGGGCAGCCAAGUGACCGCAUGGUGCCACCGUACACCACACACCCAGGGCUGAUCAUCCUGUGGUGGGCCAACCCUGACAGAGGGUGUCUUGUUGUAAGUGGCCGAAACACCCAAUGAAGUCGGGGCGAACAACUGAUGAUGUGGCGUGCUGGUGGCACCACGUGAUCAUUGCCAAUUCCCACCCCACUCAAGAUUAGAGGACAUCUCCAAUAACUGUCAAUUGAUGUGCUGAAUAUUAGGGAUAUUUAACAACUAGUCCUAUUAAGAAUUAUUUCAACAAUUUUUAAACAGCAAAUUCAAACUUCCUGGUUUAGUUUUUCAACUUAACCAGAGGACCUCCGGUUGAGUCCAACUUCUUCACUCAAGACUUUGCAGUGACUUUAUUUACAGGGCAAUGGAGGGAAAAAUAUGAAGUGUGUGUAGGCCUGCAAAUGUUUAAUUACUGGACAGCAGCUAAGGUUAAAGAAAGACUAAAGAAAAUGUGAAAUUUCACCUUGAACUUCCAAACCCCAUUAAACUGAUAAAAUGCAGCUGUGGGUAGCUGCUGCACAGUUGCUCUUAUUGGUCCCCAUACUUCACAUAGAAAUAACAACACUGAACAAAGUACCCAGUUGGUGUGACACACUGUUUACUCUGAUAUAUUUCUUCACAUGAUUAACUCAUUUUAUGUAAUCCAAACUUAUUUUCAAUAUUUAUAAAAAAAUAUAUCUUUUUUUCCUGUCAUUUUUUAGAGACUUAUGCAGUUUAUUUCAGGUUACAGGCCUGUCUGAACUUCACCAAAAGUGAAAGCUUGGUAUGACAUCUCCUCCAACAAGGCCUCAAGGCAAAGC